rnacentral:tRNA from 1 species
GCAUUGGUUGUGUAGUGGUUGGCAUGGCUGCUUUCCAAGCAGUUCGUUUGGGUUCAAUUCCCAGCCGGCUCA